rnacentral:rRNA from 1 species
AAUGAACGCUGGCGGCAGGCCUAACACAUGCAAGUCGAACGGAUCCUUCGGGAUUAGUGGCGGACGGGUGAGUAACGCGUGGGAACAUACCCUUUGGUACGGAAUAGCCUCGGGAAACUGGGAGUAAUACCGUAUGUGGUCGAGAGACGAAAGAUUUAUCGCCAAAGGAUUGGCCCGCGUUGGAUUAGGUAGUUGGUGGGGUAAUGGCCUACCAAGCCGACGAUCCAUAGCUGGUUUGAGAGGAUGAUCAGCCACACUGGGACUGAGACACGGCCCAGACUCCUACGGGAGGCAGCAGUGGGGAAUUUUAGACAAUGGGGGAAACCCUGAUCUAGCCAUGCCGCGUGAUCGAUGAAGGCCUUAGGGUUGUAAAGAUCUUUCAGGUGGGAAGAUAAUGACUGUACCACCAGAAGAAGCCCCGGCUAACUCCGUGCCAGCCGCCGCUGUAAUAC